CAGCGGCACCAUUAGAUGCCAAAUCAGCAUUACACCCGGCAGCAGCCACAGCAACGUUGGCCUCAGCAGCAGCAGCAGCCUCGGCAGCCGUAGCAACAUGACCAACCCCACCAGAAUUACCGCAGUCUGCCGCAGCAGCAGCGGCGGCGGUGGCAGAGCAUCUGCACCGCAUGGCUCUCAACAGCAGGCUUUUUCAGGGAAAAAGCCCUAGCUUCAUAGAAACCAGCUUGCAAACAUAUUUAGCCCAAAUCGACAGCAGAAUCAAUAUGUAAUCCACACCAGUUACAUGGGUUAUGAUUUUUAAUGAAACUGUUCAAUCAAUUUCCUUUGUGCUGUAUCCUCUUUAUUAGUAAAUGUGAUAUGGAAAAAAAAAUCUAUUAUUAAGAUGUAAGCGAGUGUGAAGAAGAUAUGUGUUAUUGCUUUGUAUUAGUUUUUCAUGAUCUGGGUUCUCCUUUGGUAGGCUACAUUUGGGUCUUAAAAUGAAAUAGAGGUUCUAAACCAACUUGGAUUCUAGGUGAGUGCAGUUUUAAAACAGCUUCAGUGUAGAUUUAUGGAGCAGAACAACAGUGUCACUUCAAGGCAGCAAAGCAACAGCAAAGAUUCUUCCCGGCACUGGAGUCCAGUUGAGCUUCACCAAGAGAGCCUUGUGGAGAAACAACUGCACUUCUAUGAGGAUAUUCAGUUGGAUCAUCUGCCUUAAAAGGAAAAAAAAAAAAAUUGUCCUGGUUUAGUUUUGUUGCAUUGAAGUGAUUACACUGGCUUUUUCACAGAAUGUGGACUUUUAGAUGAAUCUGCAGUGACAAUGACACUGUACCUGUAGCGGAGCCAGAGUGGGGGCAAGGGGGCAGUCGCCCCAGGGCCCACAAGGCCACAGGGCCCCAUUUCAUGU